UACAGAGGUCCCAAGCGUUGUUCGGAAUCACUGGGCGUAAAGGGUGCGUAGGCGGCUGUGUAAGUCUGGCGUGAAAGCCCCGGGCUCAGCCCGGGAAGUGCGCUCGAAACUGCGCAGCUCGAGUGCCGGAGGGGAGAGUGGAAUUCCUGGUGUAGCGGUGAAAUGCGUAGAUAUCUGGAGGAACACCGGUGGCGAAGGCGGCAUCCUGGACCGACACUGACGCUGAGGAGCGAAAGCCAGGGGAGCAAACGGG
rnacentral:rRNA from 1 species